CGCGUAGGCGGCCGAUCAAGUCAGGCGUGAAAUUCCCGGGCUCAACCUGGGGGCUGCGCUUGAUACUGAUUGGCUUGAAUGCGGGAGAGGAUAGUGGAAUUCCCAGUGUAGAGGUGAAAUUCGUAGAUAUUGGGAAGAACACCGGCGGCGAAGGCGGCUAUCUGGCCCGUAAUUGACGCUGAGGCGCGAAAGCGUGGGGAGCAAACA
rnacentral:rRNA from 1 species